AGCAGUCGCCGCGGUAAUACGUAGGGUGCAAGCGUUAAUCGGAAUUACUGGGCGUAAAGCGUGCGCAGGCGGUUAUAUAAGACAGAUGUGAAAUCCCCGGGCUCAACCUGGGAACUGCAUUUGUGACUGUAUAGCUAGAGUACGGCAGAGGGGGAUGGAAUUCCGCGUGUAGCAGUGAAAUGCGUAGAUAUGCGGAGGAACACCGAUGGCGAAGGCAAUCCCCUGGGCCUGUACUGACGCUCAUGCACGAAAGCGUGGGGAGCAAACAGGAUUAGAUACCCGUGUAGUCCCUGUCUCUUAUAC
rnacentral:rRNA from 1 species